GCCUCGAGGGAUAGCUCAGCUGGUAGAGCAUGAGACUCAGAAUCUAAGGAUUGUGGGUUUGAGCCCCAUGUUGGGUG